GUGGGAUAUGGGAUGGGGGGACCCUGAUCCAGCCAUGCCGCGUGUGUGAAGAAGGCCCUCGGGUUGUAAAGCACUUUCAGCGAGGAAGAACGCCUAGUGGUUAAUACCCAUUAGGAAAGACAUCACUCGCAGAAGAAGCACCGGCUAACUCCGUGCCAGCAGCCGCGGUAAUACGGAGGGUGCAAGCGUUAAUCGGAAUUACUGGGCGUAAAGCGCGCGUAGGUGGCUUGAUAAGCCGGUUGUGAAAGCCCCGGGCUCAACCUGGGAACGGCAUCCGGAACUGUCAGGCUAGAGUGCAGGAGAGGAAGGUAGAAUUCCCGGUGUAGCGGUGAAAUGCGUAGAGAUCGGGAGGAAUACCAGUGGCGAAGGCGGCCUUCUGGACUGACACUGACACUGAGGUGCGAAAGCGUGGGUAGCAAACAGGAUUAGAUACCCUGGUAGUCCACGCCGUAAACGAUGUCGACCAGCCGUUGGGUGCCUAGAGCACUUUGUGGCGAAGUUAGCGCGAUAAGUCGACCGCCUGGGGAGUACGGCCGCAAGGUUAAAACUCAAAUGAAUUGACGGGGGCCCGCACAAGCGGUGGAGCAUGUGGUUUAAUUCGAUGCAACGCGAAGAACCUUACCUACCCUUGACAUCUACAGAAGCCGGAAGAGAUUCUGGUGUGCCUUCGGGAACUGUAAGACAGGUGCUGCAUGGCUGUCGUCAGCUCGUGUUGUGAAGUGUUGGGUUAAGUCCCGUAACGAGCGCAACCCUUGUCCUUAUUUGCCAGCGAGUUA
rnacentral:rRNA from 1 species